rnacentral:rRNA from 1 species
UACGUAGGGUGCGAGCGUUGUCCGGAAUUACUGGGCGUAAAGAGCUCGUAGGUGGUUUGUCGCGUUGUUCGUGAAAACUCACAGCUCAACUGUGGGCGUGCGGGCGAUACGGGCAGACUAGAGUACUGCAGGGGAGACUGGAAUUCCUGGUGUAGCGGUGAAAUGCGCAGAUAUCAGGAGGAACACCGAUGGCGAAGGCAGGUCUCUGGGCAUUAACUGACGCUGAGGAGCGAAAGCAUGGGGAGCGAACAGG